rnacentral:rRNA from 1 species
UACGUAGGCAGCGAGCGUUGUUCGGGGUUACUGGUCGUAAAGAGUGCGUAGGCGGUUUUCUAAGUUUGGUGUGAAAUCUCCCGGCUCAACUGGGAGGGUGCGCCGAAAACUGGAGAGCUUGAGUAUGGGAGAGGAAAGCGGAAUUCCUGGUGUAGCGGUGAAAUGCGUAGAUAUCAGGAGGAACACCUGUGGUGUAGACGGCUUUCUGGACCAUCACUGACGCUGAGACACGAAAGCGUGGGGAGCAAACAGG